rfam:Dipodomys ordii contig_925, whole genome shotgun sequence.
GGGAAGGUGGCUCAGUGGUAGAGCACUUGCUUUGCAUGCCUGAGGCCCUGGGUUCAAUUCCUCAGCACCCCA